ACAAGCAAAUUUGCACCCGGUGCCCUCCCUAGUCUGUACCAAAUCCUUACACACCGACGACACAGGAUCGAAAAUUUCUCGGCGGCGGCGGCGACGGCGACGACCAAGAUCCUGAGCCAAGCUGGGCGGGCUCGCGCAGCAAAGAUGCUGAUCCAUCUCCUCUCCGAUGGCUUCUAGGUUCUAGCCGUUUCGUCGCAGGUGGCGCAGUUUGAGGUAGAUUAGAUCGGAUUCCUCACCUCCUCCCCACUCUCAGGCUCCCAGAUCAGCUCGCGGCCGUCCUCCUCCACCCCCACCCCCUCUCGCGAUUCAGCACUAGCUCAACGCUCGUGGAUCCUCGCCUCCUUCCCAGCCGGCCGCUCUCUGGUUCUGCGAACAGGCCGCCACGGUUCUUCGUUCUGCAGUUGCUGGAGUAGUAACAGCAGAAGAAUGAACAACAGCUUGAGUAGAAUAGAAGCAGAUCCGUUCUGGUGAUGCUUAUGUUGGUUGGAUUCUUAUUUUAUCCAGAAGCAGCAUGUUGAUUAGUGCUAUGACUUAGUUGUGGUAUUGUGUAUUGCUACCAGAAGCAGCACGUGUACCGACUGUACAUAAACGCUAACCGAUUUCUAGCAUGAAGCAAUACACUAGCAAAUCUAGCUAUUCCGGCGAGAUGCACUAUUAUAGGAAGUAGGCUGCUCUGGCUUCGUCGAUUCUUCAGCGGCAAGCCGACACGCACACACGAUCCAGUAAUGGAGGGUAGCAGUGCGAUGUCUCCGCUAGGAGAGCCCUCAAUUCCAAUGAUCGCAGCAUGUGCACCAGCACUAUCAUGUGUGAGAAUAGCGCCAUGGAAUCGGUCAACAGUGUUCAAAAUCAAGGAUGUGUGUAUGUGAUUUAGUACUAAUCCUUCAUCCAUGGCAUGAGCCUAUCUGGCAUCUUGUUCAUUUAUAUUUUCCCGUGCUGCUGUGGUUUUCUUAUUAUUACAAGGUAUAAUAUAAUGCAUGCCAUCAAGUUUUGUUUAUAGCUAUCAAAUUUGAAUAAUAAUUUGCAUCUGCAGGGCAUUCAUAAAACUCCCUUUAAAUUGUUCAAUGCCACUUAUUUGUCGUUCUUAUUUGUGCUUUUAACUAAUCUUGGAAUUAUAAUCCAUUUAUUGUAGGUCUAUAAUGAAAUAAUGAACUAUGCUGCAACAAAAAAUUUGUACUCUCUCUGUUAGACAUAUCCAACUAUCACAUGCCAUUUUAUUUUAUUUGGAAAAUCCCCUGUAGAAGCUGGAAAGCCAGCUUGACCUAUAAAGUUAUCCUGAUUGGUUACAUAUGUAUUAAUAUGUUUGAGGUUCAACCUAAGUUUUGACAUAGUAUAAGUUAUGUUUCCUAGGUUGGAGUGCUGAAAGAAGCUGGACAUAUAUAAUGAUUAUUUCUCUUCUCAAGAUAUGCUAUUUGGUAUAUGUUUUUGACUGACCCCUAUUUACUUGGUAUAUGUUUCUGACUGACCCCUAUUUACUUGGUGUGUUUACCUAGGUAGAUCGAACUGAUCAAGUGUCCAUGGAGGUUGUCAUCUCUCUCCCAGCAGGAGGCUCCAUUGCCAGGAAGCACUAACACGAGGCAAAAUGAUAGAUAUUUUCGUUCUUGUACCAGCAAGAUGCUUGUUGGGCGAUGAUAAUUUCAGUCUUUACCACUUGGUCUUGCCGGCCAUAUACUAAAAAUGAUCUGUAUGCCACAUGUACUCAAGUACUCAAAUGCUUGCUAAGCACUGAUAAUUCCAGUCCUUAAUUUGCUCUA